rnacentral:rRNA from 1 species
GAUGAACGCUGGCGGCGUGCCUAAUACAUGCAAGUCGAGCGAAUGGAUUAAGAGCUUGCUCUUAUGACGUUAGCGGCGGACGGGUGAGUAACACGUGAGUAACCUGCCCAUAAGACUGGGAUAACUCCGGGAAACCGGGGCUAAUACCGGAUAACAUUUUGAACCGCCUGGUUCGAAAUUGAAAGGCGCCUGCGGCUGUCACUUAGGGAUGGACCCGCGUCGCAUUAGCUAGUUGGUGAGGUAACGGCCUACCAAGGCAACGAUGCGUAGACGACGUGAGAGGGUGAUCGGCCACACUGGGACUGAGACACGGCCCAGACUCCUACGGGAGGCAGCAGUAGGGAAUCUUCCGCAAUGGACGAAAGUCUGACGGAGCAACGCCGCGUGAGUGAUGAAGGCUUUCGGGUCGUAAAACUCUGUUGUUAGGGAAGAACAAGUGCUAGUUGAAUAAGCUGGCACCUUGACGGUACCUAACCAGAAAGCCACGGCUAACUACGUGCCAGCCGCCGCCGUAA